UCAAGCGAUUCUCCUGCCUCAGCCUCCCAAGUAGCUGGGAUUACAGGCGCCCGCCACUAUGCCCGGCUAAUUUUUGUAUUUUUAGUAGAGAUGGGGUUUCACCAUGUUGGUCAGGCUGGGCUCGAACUCCCGAUCUCAGGUGAUCUGCCUGCCUUGGCCUCCCAAAGUGCUGGGAUUACAAGUGUGAGCCACCAAGCCCAGCCCACAUAUAGAAUUUUUUAAAAACAAAUCCUGUUGGACCUCAGGUUCACAGAAUUGCAUUAUGAUAGACUCUCAUCAUUAGUCCAUACAUGGCUUGCUUUAUUUAUUUACUUACCUAGCCAGUGUCAGAUUUAAAAUCCUCAAUACUUGGUGUCAUAUCUCUGGCUCUGUCCUGUACUAGGUGUGUGACCUUAGUCAAGUUUUCUAACUCUGUGUAUUGAUUUCUUCAACAGUAAAAUGAGGAUUAUUACCUCGUAGAGCUGUGUGAGAAUUAAAUGAGUUAAUAUAUGCAUACUAGUUAAUGCGGUGCCUGGUAUCUGGUAAACUGUGUACAUGUUGGCUUUUAUAUUAUCUCCGAGUUUCCAUGUAUGAUCCUUUGCCUUAUACCCAAAAUAAAUUCUUUAGAAUUUCCUUUAAUGUGGGUCUACUAGUGACAAAAACUCUUCAUUUUUGUCUUAAAUUGUCUUUAUUUCACUUCCAUUCUUUUAAAUUAAUUUUUUCUAGUUUUGCAUUUUUUAAUUACUAUUGAGGAUGAAUAUUUUUCUGGGUGUUGCUCAGCUGUUUAUGGUUCUUUUUUAAAAAAUGAGUUCACCCAGCCUGGGCAACAUAGGGAGACCUCAUCUCUAAAAAAAUUUUAAAAUUUAGCUGAGUGCGGUGGUGCAUGCCUGUGGCUCCAGCUACUUGGGAGGCUGAGGUGGGAAGAUCGUUUGGGCUCAGGAGGUCGAGGCUGUAGUGAGCUAAGAUCACACCACUGGACUCCAGGCUAGGCGACAGAGUAAGACCCUGUCUCAAAAAAAAGAGUUCACUUUUCCCUAACUUCUUUUGUUUUUGUGGUAAAAUAGAUAUAUAAAACAUAAAAUUUGUCAUUUUAAUCACUUUUAAGUGUACAAUUGAGUGACAUUAAUUACAUUCACUGUGUUGUGCAACCAUCACCACUACCUAUUCCCAAACAUUUUCACCACCCCAACAGAAAUUUGGUACCCAUUAAGCAAUAAUUCCCCAUUUCCCGUUCAUCCCAUCCCUGGUAAUCUCUAAUCUGCUUUCUGUCUCUUUGAAUUUGCCUCUUUUAGACAUUUCAUACAAAUAGAAUCAUACAAUGUCUUUUGUGUUUGGCUUAUUUCGCUUGGCGUAAUGUUUUCGUUUUGAUUAGACAGUAAGUUACAGGAUUCAAACAACUAUAUCAAACUUACUCUGAGAAGUCCUAUUCCCACCCCACCCACAUUACCCCUUUAUACUUCAUUUCCUAUAGAUAAAUCAUUUUUUCGUUUUUAUCAUGGUAGUGUUUGUUGUUGUUGUUGUUUGUUUGUUUUUGAGACAGAGUCUUGCUCUGUUGCCCAGGCCAGAGCACAGUGGUGUGAACUUGGCUCACUGCAACCUCUGCCUCCUGGGUUCAAGCGAUUCUCCUGCCUCAGCCUCCUAAGUAGCUGGGAUUACAGGCCCAUACCACCACGCUCAGAUAAUUUUUUGUAUUUUUAGUAGAGAUGGGGUCUUGUUAUGUUGGCCAGGCUGGUCUCGAACUGCUGGCCUCAAGAGAUUCCCCGCCUCUGUCAUCCAAAGUGCUGGGGUUGCAGGUGUGAGCCACUGUGCCUGGCUAUCAUGAUAGCGUUUUUAUGCACAAAUAUGCAAAUAUGAAUAUAUGUUCUAUGUCUCCUUUUGUAACAGAAAAUGUAGCUAUUUUAGCCUGAGUCCUCCCAAAAGCAGAGUAGAAGACAAGGGGCUAGACCAGGUGCAGUGGCUCUCACCUAUAAUCCUAGCACUUUGGGAGGCUGAGGCGGAUGGAUUGCUUGAGCCCAGGAGUUCAAGACCAGCCUGAGCAAGAUGGCAAAACUCCAUCUCUAUAAAAUAGAAAAACAAUUAGCCUAUAGUCCUAGCUACUUGGGAGGCUGAGAUAGGAAGAUUGUUUCAGCCUGGGGAGAUUGAGGCUACAGUGUGUCAUGAUUGUGCUACUGCACACCAGCCUGGGCAACAGAGUGAGACCCUGUUUCGAAAAAGAAAAAAUAUGUCAAAGGGCUUUUAUACCACUAAUAUAUUAGGAAGUGCAAUCCUAGGAAACAAAUGAGGGGCCAGGAGAGUGAAGCCAGAAAGGAGGAAGAGCCAAUUUGAGGGUGCAUUAUUGAAUUGGCUGUUAUUAAUUGCAACUGAUUUCUUAAAUCCAGUUCUCCAAGAAGUCAUAUAUAUUGUAUCUGAGGGGAGCUAGUUGGAGGAGUGGUGAUGGGGGAAAAUUUUUUUAUCCUCACCUCCCUCUGGUCAAAGUUUCAGCACACAGACGUGAACUACCUCACACUUCUGAAUUGUGUCUAUGUGGGUGCUGAGCAAGGUUCCAUGGCAUCCUGUUAAAUUGGUUUCAACAGGAAAGCCUUUGGGUGACAGCCAAAUGACAUGUGACAUAGUUAUGAGGGAAAAAGUACUGUUAAGAUUGCACCUAUGUGAAGUCUGUGCCCACACGGAGCUGGCUUCCAGUAGCCAUGUCUGGAACACAAGAUAGGCAAGGCUGAGGCCAUCUGAAAUGGAGCAUAAGAAGUAUCUGAUAUAGCCCAUCCACUGUACCACUAUGGGCCUGCUCAGAUUCUCCGUUAUAUCCAGCUUCCAUGCUAUUAUUCAAUAUGGGGCCUCCACUUGUGUGUGUGCACGUGUGUGUGCAUACGUAUGUGUGUGAAAGACAGAGAGACAGAGAGAGAGAGAAAAAGAGAGAAAGAGAAAGAGAGAGAGAGAGAGUAUGCCCUCACUUCUUAUCUGACAGCAGAGGAGUAAGUCCAGUCCACAAAAGAUUUUCCUUUAAGGUAUAACCAAGUACGAUUUCUGAAGAGACUUAAGAGUUAGUGAAACAAGCUACGGUUCCUUUUGGACCUGCUUGGAGAUGAGACAUUUACCUCUGAGGAGUUUAAGAGCUUAAUGCCUUGUCUGUGUCAUGGUUGCUGCAGUUGCUCAUUUACCAUUGACACUGGCAGUGGAGACACCAAGAGAUACCCUAGUGAAUCUCCUGAAUUCCAGACAUAUGAUUUACUGAACGAAUUAUGUUGGAGCAACCCAAGCUUCUCAUGGUAAUCAAAGUCACUUACCACCAUAAUCACAUUAGCUCUUUUUUGGCUUGUUUGUCCACUGGUAUGAACAGCUCAACGUGACCAGGCAGUAACCAGGUUCAAAUUCAACUGAAAUGCAGCAGAGCCUAGAGAUUCCAUGGAUGGGAAGCAAAAAUGCAAUCAGAUCACUGGAAGCGUCGGUGGGAGGAGUUAAUCCUAUUUCACCACUUGGUUCAUGGACUCAUGUAUUCUAGCUACUUGGGAUGGAAUUGUUGGUUCAGCUCCUAUUCUACAUUUUAGAGGACAGCAUCCGAAUCUUUUAGGGUGAUCUCCAAAGCUAGUGCCUUAGUAAAUAUUUUUAAUAGACACUGCCUUGAUUUAUUGGCUCAUUGUUUGAUGGUGGUGGGAGGUAAAGACAUACAUUGUAAAAUUUGUGAAUCUCUUGGUCAUGUAUCCAAUGUCCUAUAUCUAUAUAUUUAAUUGGCCACAAAUGGAUCCCUCAGUCUAAGGCAGGGUUUAUAGGAUACCUUGUUGAUACAUCAUUCUGUAAGCCUUUGAAUAAUAUUGCUGUCAGAAGAAUUGUGAAGAGAGGAAAAAAAAACACUGCUUUCUAGAGUAGAUGUCAAUACUAGUAAGGAUGAAUUACUGCCCUAUCCAGAGUGAGGGGAGUCUGAUAAAAUCAACUUGCCAUUAAGUGGCAGGCUGGUUUCCUCAAGGAAUGAUACUGAAGGCUCAGCAUUCUUCUGCUGGCAUUCAGAAGGGGUAAUAUUCUGCAAAGGAAAAGCUCAAAUAAUUAAGAUAAAAAGAAAUGAAAAAAAAAAAACCAACAACACCAGAAGGGGUAAUAGAUCAGCCACAGUGAGAGGGAGCCCCUGCUGCUAUCCCCAUACAAAAUCUCUACCCCCAUGGCCUCCCUGCUUACGAACUUAUUGCCCCAGUAGUGGGAUGGCUGAGGAAAGAGGCUGACUGAUAUCUACAGAAUAAGUCAUCCAAUUCACCUGGUUGUUGAAGACUUCUCCUAUGGUAGAAUUAUCUUGUGAGCAUUAAUGUGAGAUACAAAGAUUUUUUAUGCUGUUUUUUGGCCCAAUUCCUAAUCCUUCCAUAUACAUUUUCCACAGUUUUCUUGUCUCUAAUAUAAUAAUUGUGUAUCCUCCAGAUGCUAGACCAGCCAGCCAAUCCCUUUGCCACUGCUCGGCUAUCUACAUAUAGCCACACGUCAGACCACUUCUCUUUUCAUGAAAAAUGAAUGGCCAAGUACACUUCUUACAGCUCUGCUUACACAGAAGGUUUUCCUUUACCACUGUCCUUUAGGGUUCCCCUUAAGUAACUUAGCAGUUAAGCAUUUUUGGCUUGCACCAACAUAUGUACCAAGCACCUGUAAACUGGGACCAAUAUCUUUUCUCCUCUGUCAGUUGGUCAUAGGGAAUUUUCCAAUGAAAAUAUAGGUAUGAAUUGUGAAUUGCUUUGGUACAGUAGAGAUUGGUGAAACAGGAGUCUAGGUCAUGUGUUUAUGAAAUUCCUUCUGGACUUGCUUGGAGCUAAUCCUGAAUUUACUAUUUCUCUUAUACAAAGGGUUUCUCUUAUACCUAUCUAACCUUAUAAUUUAGUAAAUCUGAUGAUACCAAGUUCUUGUUGGCAGCUCUGGUGGCAUAAUCAUUUGGUGUCUGAUAUAGUUUGGACAUUUGUCCCCACCAAAAUCUCUUCUUGAAUUGUAAUUCCCAAUGUUGGAGAUGGGGCCUGGUGGGAGGUGUUUGGAUCAUGAGGGUGGAUCCUUCAUGGCUUAGUGCUGUCCUCGCAGUAGUGAGUUCCUCCGAGAUCUGGUUUAAAGUGUAUGGCACCUCCUUCACUCUCUGUUUCUCCUGCUCUUGCUAUGUGAUAUGCAAGACCUGUCUUUACCUUCUGCAGUUGAGUAAAAGCUCCCUGAGGGCUCCCCAGAAACCAAGCAGAUCCUGGCACCGUGAUUGUAUAGCCUGUAGAAUCAUGAGCCAAUUAAACCUCUUUUCUUUAUAAAUUACCCAGUCUCAGGUAUUUCUUUUAUUUCUACUUCCAGCAGUGCAAGAACAACCUAACACAGUGUCCCAUUGUCAUCUACUCAGUCUCUAAUAGGGCUAAGGAGCAUGAUAGUAUCUAUUUAUAAGCACUGAGAAAUUUCCUACUGUAGAAGGCAUGGAUCUAAACCAUUUAGAUUUACUGUCUGUACCAUUGAAAGAUUUGCACUUUAGCUUUCCUACUGUGCCAUGCCAGAAACUCCAUACAGCAUUGUUAUCCAUCAUGGGCAUUACUAGCAACAUCAGAGUGGCUGGAUUGUGUCAGAUGGCUGGUAUCACAGCCUGGACCUCUUACUCCAGAGUAUUCUCAAACCUGAUAGCAUUUUGAGUUCCAGAUGUGGUAUACAUUACCUCUAAAAUCCAAAGAGACUGUGCCUCUUUCUUAAUGGUAAGAAAUGCAAAUGAUAAUGACUUUUAUUUUAUCUCAGAGGGCAUUUCUUUGCAUGCCCAAGAACCCUAGAAUCAUUACUGAUAUGACAGUCUUCUGAAUAUUCAUAGGGUUAAUCUUUUACUCUUUGACAUGCUAGACCAUCUAGGGUCCUUGCUACUUACUACUCACUAGGUCCAAUUAGAAUCAUGUCAUCUAUGCAGUGAUCUAGCAUUAUGUUCUAUAAAAUGUUCAAUGUUGAAAUAUUUGUGGAGUACAUUAUGAAAGAAAGCAAGUUCACGCCUGUAAUCCCAGUACUUUGGGAGGCCGAGGCGGGCGGAUCACGAGGUCAGGAGAUCAAGACCAUCCUGGCUAACAUGGUGAAACCCCGUCUCCACUAAAAAUACAAAAAAUUAGCCGGGCGUGGUGGUGGGGGCCUGUAGUCCCAGCUACUCACGGUGAAACCCCGUCUCUACUAAAAAUACAAAAAAUUAGCCGGGCGUGGUGGUGGGGGCCUGUAGUCCCAGCUACUCGGGAGGCUGAGGCAGGAGAAUGGCAUGAACCCGGGAGGGCGGAGCUUGCAGUGAGCCGAGAUCGCGCCACUGCACUCCAGCCUGGGCGACAGAGCGAGACUCCGUCUCAAAAAAAAAAAAAAAAAAAGAAAGAAAGCAAGAGAGUUAACAUAGCUUUGUAAUAAGACAUUUGAAUGUAUUCUGUUUUCUUGUUAUGAGGAGAUGAACUGCUUUUGAUUUUAUUCCCUGGUGGAAUUAAAGACAAGUGCAUUUGCCGGAAAAAUAGCCACCUACCAAGUUGCCAAAGUUAUAUUGAUCUACUCCAAUGAAGAUACCACAUCUGGCAUGACAGCUGCAAUUGGAGCUACCAUUUGGUUAAGUUGGGCACGAUGGCUCACGUCUGUAAUCCCAGCACUUUGGGAGGCUGAGGCAGGCGGAUCACCUGAGGUCGAGAGUUCAAGAUCAGCCAGACCAACAUGGAGAAACCCCGUCUCUACUAAAAAUACAAAAUUAGCCAGGCAUGGUGGCACAUGCCUGUAAUCCCAGCUACUCGGGAGGCUGGAGAAUCGCUUGAACCCAGGAGGUGGAGGUUGGGGUGAGCAGAGAUCGUGCCAUUGCACUCAAGCCUGGGCAACAAGAGCGAAACUCUGUCUCAAAAAAAAAAAUUAUAUUUGGAAGAAUGACUACAUAUGAAUGUUUUUGCCCGAUAAACUAAAUAUAUUCAUUUAAAGACAAAUCUCUAAGCAUUAAAGCUAAGAUACUAUUGCAAGUUAAACUUGUUUUAACUAACAAAUUUGUUUUGCAGUAAUUUCAUGGAGGUGGUGCUGGCAGAAGCACUGAGGGCAGGAAGGCAUAUCCAUAUCUAGAAAACGUGUCUAUGCCGGUAAGGUCAAAUCUCUGUCUUGUCCAUAAGUUCAGUGGCUGGCUAUCUCAUGAGGGUCUAGACUUUGGCAUUUUUCUUUGAUGAUAACAGAUUGGCAUGCAGCAGUGGUGAUAACCACAUCAGCCUUGAUAAAGAGAUGAUCAUUUUGUUGAACCUAUGCAUAAUGCCAUGGCCACUUUGCUGAUGGCCCAUUGAACAAAUACUGUUGUGGCUUUGGAAAGGGUUAUCUGAUAUUUUAUGGAUUAAAUGAGUUAAUUUUUUUCAAGUACUAAGAACUAUGCCUGGCACAUAGUAAGCACUAUGUAAGUGUUUUGCUAAAUAAAAAUCCAUGUAGUGAA